UGGCCUUGCCCUCUCGGGGCGUUCUCCUUCCUCGAACUUCGGGCCGCGCGGCGAACCGCGCGGCCCUUUUUCGUUGCGGGA
rnacentral:sRNA from 1 species